UCAAACAAGUUGAUUGAGAAAGUAACUUUGUUAAAGACUGUACAGAAAACUUACAUUUGAUGAGAGUAAGGUAGUUCACACAAAGUGAAAAUGGCUCAUGAUUGGCGUUACUGAAUGGUUUAAGUAACGAUGGAUUGGCACCCAUUAAACGUGCACGCGUAUCACUUACUUAUUGUUUAAUAGUUAGUCGUACGUUGUUGAGGAAGUAAGUGUAAGCUUAUUUCAAAGUAGAAUGGUAAUCACGAUAAACUCGUUUCUAAU
rnacentral:ncRNA from 1 species